rnacentral:rRNA from 2 species
GAAUCCCGUAUGUGGCACGGACUCCCGUUACUCUGUGAUACACUCUCAACGAGUCGAGUUGUUUGGGAAUGCAGCUCCAAAUGGGUGGUAAAUGCCAUCUAAAGCUAAAUAUUGGCGAGAGACCGAUAGCAAACAAGUACCGUGAGGGAAAGAUGAAAAGCACUUUGGAAAGAGAGUGAAACAGUACGUGAAAUUGUUGAAAGGGAAACGCUUGAAGUCAGUCAUGCCCUUUGGGAUUCAGCCUUGCUUCUGCUUGGUUUACUUCUCUUUGGGUGGGUCAACAUCAGUUUGGGUCGGAGGAGAAAGACUUGGGGAAGGUGGCAGCAUUCGUGCUGUGUUAUAGCCCCUUGUUGUAUACUUCGAUUUGGACUGAGGACCGCAGCACGCCUUUGGCCGGGGCUCGCCCACGUACGUGCUUAGGAUGUUGGCAUAAUGGCUUUAAGCGACCCGUCUUGAAACACGGACCAAGGAGUCUAACAUGUGCGCGAGUGUUUGAGUGUUAAACUCAGACGCGAAAUGAAAGUGAAAGGUUGGGAACACUUAUGUGUGCACCGACGCCCGGAGCUGACCUUCUGUGACGCAUCUGCGGUAGAGCGUAUAUGUUGGGACCCGAAAGAUGGUGAACUAUGCCUGAAUAGGGUGAAGCCAGAGGAAACUCUGGUGGAGGCUCGUAGCGAUUCUGACGUGCAAAUCGAUCGUCAAAUUUGGGUAUAGGGGCGAAAGACUAAUCGAACCAUCUAGUAGCUGGUUCCUGCC